UGCCAGACUCCUACGGGAGGCAGCAGUGGGGAAUAUUGCACAAUGGGGGAAACCCUGAUGCAGCAACGCCGCGUGAAGGAAGACGGUUUUCGGAUUGUAAACUUCUAUCAAUAGGGAAGAAAGAAAUGACGGUACCUAAAUAAGAAGCCCCGGCUAACUACGUGCCAGCAGCCGCGGUAAUACGUAGGGGGCAAGCGUUAUCCGGAUUUACUGGGUGUAAAGGGAGCGUAGACGGCAGCGCAAGUCUGGAGUGAAAUGCCGGGGCCCAACCCCGGAACUGCUCUGGAAACUGUGAAGCUGGAGUGCAGGAGAGGUAAGCGGAAUUCCUGGUGUAGCGGUGAAAUGCGUAGAUAUCAGGAGGAACACCGGCGGCGAAGGCGGCUUACUGGACUGUAACUGACGUUGAGGCUCGAAGGCGUGGGGAGCAAUCAGGAUUAGAUACCCGAGUAA
rnacentral:rRNA from 1 species